rnacentral:rRNA from 1 species
UACGCAGGGGGCUAGCGUUGCUCGGAAUCACUGGGCGUAAAGCGCACGUAGGCGGAUUGCUAAGUCAGGGGUGAAAUCCUGGAGCUCAACUCCAGAACUGCCUUUGAUACUGGCAACCUUGAGUCCGGGAGAGGUGAGUGGAACUGCGAGUGUAGAGGUGAAAUUCGUAGAUAUUCGCAAGAACACCAGUGGCGAAGGCGGCUCACUGGCCCGGUACUGACGCUGAGGUGCGAAAGCGUGGGGAGCAAACAGG